AAUUCUGCAGAAAGAUAAUCACUCCAUUAGGCAUUGGACUAUUAAAAGCUAUUACAUUUAGUGAUUGCUCUAUGCUUUACAGUCACAGAAUACAUGAUUGAUGAAAUUUUGAUGUCUAGGUUUAGCAGCCAUUGACCAAAUUGUGAAAAAAACAUCAUCCAAAAUGUUCCCUUCACUACUUUUUUCCUACAGUUUCUGCUAAGUCCUCCAAAAGAUGGUAACAGAUAGUUCCUUGUAUAUGUUAUUGCUACACAUUCUGCAAGAGCCUAAUUUAGCUUACCUGAUACCAGAUGGAGAUUGCAAAUACGAUAAUGAAGAGAAUGAGUACUGGCCAGGCCACUUGAGUCAUGAGCAUGAUGAUGCAAAGAAGCUGAACAAGUGCAAAUAUCAACCCAGCCAGUCUGUAUGGAAUAUCUGUGUCAACAGUGCUUUGGUCUGUUGAGGACUGAAAAAGGAUUCUGAACGUCGCUAGAGCUGAGAGGACUGUGCCAGCAGUCAGGGGUGUAUUCACCAAAAUGCAGACACCGAAGGCAAUGACCAAAACCAAAGUUGGAGACGCCCAGAACAGGAAGGCAAUAGCAGAGCAUGUGUAGAGAUAUCUCCUGAGCCAACUCCUCUCCACAUCUCUAAGUUGGAGGAGCUUGUUCAAAGUGGAGCCUCUCCUGUAGAUUUGCCAGUGGUGUGUUACUCACCAUCACUAGGAUUGUCACAGCUAGUGCCGAGAAUGAGGCUGCUGCACCAAGAUUUCUGUAAAGAAUAAGUAGAGCCAAAGAGACCUGGACGGGGA